rnacentral:rRNA from 1 species
GAGUUUGAUUCUGGCUCAGAUUGAACGCUGGCGGCAUGCUUUACACAUGCAAGUCGAACGGCAGCACGAGUGCUUGCACUUGGUGGCGAGUGGCGAACGGGUGAGUAAUGCAUUGGAACGUGCCUUGUAUUGGGGGAUAACUGAGCGAAAGCUUAGCUAAUACCGCAUACGCCCUGAUGGGGAAAGCUGGGGAUCGUUUGACCUGGCGAUAUAAGAGCGGCCAAUGUCUGAUUAGCUAGUUGGUGAGGUAAAGGCUUACCAAGGCGACGGUCAGUAGCGGGUCUGAGAGGAUGAUCCGCCACACUGGGACUGAGAGACGGCCCAGACUCCUACGGGAGGCAGCAGUGGAGAAUUUUGGACAAUGGGGGGAACCCUGAUCCAGCCAUGCCGCGUGUCUGAAGAAGGCCUUCGGGUUGUAAAGGACUUUUGUUGGGGAGCAAAGGUAUCUGGUUAAGAGCUGGAGAUUAUGAGA